GAUUCCUAUUGCACUUACAUAGAAUCAGUCACAUGACACCUCACCCUACCACUGCCCUUCUGAAUUACAGGAUGGACACCUUUCCGAACAGACAGGACAAAUCUGGACUCCAGCCAGCCAAGCCCCACUGACUCUUCUGUCCCAGACACAGAGGAGCAGAAGGCGGCCCCAAAACAAGACCCGGUGCCACAAACCCUGGCUGCAGGAGCGGGCAGCCACUGCAGCACUUUCUGUGCUGAGCCUCCUGAUCCAGGCACCAAGCGAAAGGCCUAUUUGUCACCCAGGGGACAGCUCGCCCCAAUCAGCGAGGAGGAGGAAACGCCAAGGAAGACUCCUCCUGAGUGAGGAGAGAGCGGGAAAUCCACAGCACACUG